rnacentral:lncRNA from 1 species
CGGCAGCACCUCCCUUGAAAGAAGCAUAACAAGGGGGGAACAUAGAGUUCAUACAGGAUAUAAAAGACAGAUAAUUCACGUAGUAUAAUCAAAAUGCAAAAAUAGUAAAGCACAUUCAUGACUAAUUAAAAAAAAUGGGUAACUCAGCCCACCCCAAAAAAUCAGCUCAACUACCAUGAAAGGCUAGAACAUAAUAAUUCCCUAGACUUGAUCCUCCCUGAUUAACAACAUUAUUAAGCAGUGGUUCCUUUAUUAAAGGUGUAGUGGCCGUGCUGCUACAUCCCUUCUUUCCCAAAGCAGAAAUCAGGUGUCUGCAUCAGACAAUGCAAGAGUGAGAUGACACAUCUCAGCAAGUAAAUAGAGCAAACAACAAUUGGACAAUGUAAACCAACCGUGCUUAAACAACCACGUAGUUCAAAACUCCCUUCUUGAAUAUUAAUUUGCAGCAAGUAAGCAAGUAACUGAUUACUUAAUGCCAAGAUGAAUCACAAUGUAAAGAUCCACACUAUCCACAUCCACAUAACAGAUUCCACACCUCUCCCAUGAAUGCACAUGGCUACAGAUGCAGUAAUGACUUCUGCCUUCAUAUCUCUAAGGAUAUGAAGCUGCAUCAUACCCCUUCUCGGGCAACAUAUGAUGCUCAUUGUACCGGUACGGUCAGACCAUAAGAUCGCGAUGAAACUUCAAUGCGAUGGAUGAUGAAUGCAUUAUGCAAGUCAACAACAUGAGUUCUUCCCAAACAAAAUGUGCUACACAUAUACUUCCACCCAUUCCACAUAAUAAACCACAUGGGUAACAUGAUCAAACCACAAAUUCAACAUAUGUAAUCAAUAAAACAUGAAUAUCUUCCAACGAUGGUACCCAAUUAGAAAUAUGAAUACGAACACAAAUAGCACAAACAUAAUCAAGUAUAAGUCUCUUCAUUCAACAGACGGAAUAACCAUCACUAUUUUACUUGCCUUCACCAGAAGUUUGGGCAAAUCCCUAAGUACGAUCCGGAAGUCCACCAUCUGUUUUUGACACACAACUUAGUGCACCAAUUUCAUAUAAUAAGCCUCAUAAACGACGCCGCACCUACGCAGAAUCUCAAACCCCGCCACGGGUAACAAUUCUCCCCGCACCCACCAAACUGCAGCGGCGCUGCUUAAUAAUUUCAUAACUUUAAAAUUAUGACAGCAGUGGUGACAACCAAAAACUCCAGAGGCAUCUACAUCAAAUUCCCCACAAGUUUUGUAUACAAUUUAUAAUAAAAUUCCAACAUCUAAUUAGCCCAAAACUGUCCUCAAGAUAAACCCUGUAAUCUGUUUUUCUCUUUUGGACAGCGACAUACCCGGAUUCAAACAGCGAUAUCUUUUAAAAUAUAAUUCUAAAUCAAGCGCAUAAGUACUCAUUGGAAAGAUAAGAUAAAGCCCUACAUGAUUAUCAUACUGGUUAUCACUAACUACCCACGAAAAAUUCCCAGAAACUGCUAAUACUACUGCUGUUCACCCACCUGAAAAAUCUGUUUUUUGGACAGCAACAUAUCCGGAUUCAAACAAUGAUAUCUCCUAAAUUAUAACUCCGAAUCGAGCGCAUAAGUACUCGUUGGAAAGGUAUGACAAAGCUCUACAUGACUAUCCAACUGAUUCUCACUAAUUAACCCACGAAAAUUCCCAGAAAUCCCUAGAACUACUGCUGUCCACCCACUCACAAAAUUCCUGGACAGCACCUCUACCGAUUCGCAAAAAUAAACGCAUAAUCCAAUUGAUUGCAGCACAAAAACAACAAAAGUUAAACAUGAAUUCACCUUGGGUUCUUCCCUUCCUUCUUCCUCCCUCCAAACUCCAAUUGAGAUCGCAGCCACACGACGGAGAACACGCGGGAGGGCUGCACCUUGGAGGGGGGGAAGAGAAAUGGGGGGGGGUAGGGUUUUGGGUGGUGAGGGCUGCAAAGGUUUGAGGAGAAAGAAGAUAGGAGAGGGGGGAGGGGUGACGUCCAAGAGGAAGG